rnacentral:rRNA from 1 species
UUCCAGACUCCUACGGGAGGCAGCAGUGAGGAAUAUUGGUCAAUGGCCGAGAGGCUGAACCAGCCAAGUCGCGUGAGGGAAGAAUGUCCUAAGGAUUGUAAACCUCUUUUGUCGGGGAGCAAAAAGGCUCUGCGGAGUCGUAUUGAGAGUACCCGAAGAAAAAGCAUCGGCUAACUCCGUGCCAGCAGCCGCGGUAAUACGGAGGAUGCGAGCGUUAUCCGGAUUUAUUGGGUUUAAAGGGUGCGCAGGCGGAAUGUCAAGUCAGCGGUAAAAUUUCGGGGCUCAACCCCGUCGUGCCGUUGAAACUGGCGUUCUUGAGUGAGCGAGAAGUAUGCGGAAUGCGUGGUGUAGCGGUGAAAUGCAUAGAUAUCACGCAGAACUCCGAUUGCGAAGGCAGCAUACCGGCGCUCAACUGACGCUCAUGCACGAAAGCGUGGGUAUCGAACAGGAUUAGAUACCCCCGUAC